rnacentral:rRNA from 1 species
GACGAACGCUGGCGGCGUGCUUAACACAUGCAAGUCGAACGGAAAGGCCCUGCUUUUGUGGGGUGCUCGAGUGGCGAACGGGUGAGUAACACGUGAGUAACCUGCCCUUGACUUUGGGAUAACUUCAGGAAACUGGGGCUACUACCGUAUAGGAGCUCCUGCUGCAUGGUGGGGGUUGGAAAGUUUCGGCGGUUGGGGAUGGACUGGCGGCUUAUCAGCUUGUUGGUGGGGUAGUGGCUUACCAAGGCUUUGACGGGUAGCCGGCCUGGGAGGGUGACCGGCGACAAUGGGCCUGAGAGACGGAGCAGACUCCUACGGGAGGCAGCAGUGGGGAACAUUGCACAAUGGGCGGAAGCCUGAUGCAGAAACGCCGCGUGCGGGAUGACGGCCUUCGGGGUGUAAACCGCUUUCGCCUGUGACGAAGCGUGAGUGACGGUAAUGGGUAAAGAAGCACCGGCUAACUACGUG